rnacentral:lncRNA from 1 species
CUGAGACGGUCCUCCAGCGCGGAGACGAUGUCCUAAAACGGAAACACAGCCUCAGUCAACGGCUCAGGCAGACGCUGACCACAGGAGGCCGCCAUGAUGUGAGGAAGCCCAGGCUAUAUGGAGAUGUUUCAGUCGACAACUCCAGCUGAGGUCCCACCUGACAACCAGCAUCAACUGCCAAAUAUGCGAGUGAGCAAGGUGUCAAGAUGAGUCCAACCGCAGUCACUAUCUGACUGCAACGCCAUGAAAGACUCUAAGCAAGAAAUAGCUAGCGGAGCCCAGUCAACCUCCAGAAGAGCAAAAGAGAAUAAGGAGAACUCCAGUCUAAGCAUGAGACAAACAUCAGUCAAACCCAUAAUGGGAGACACUCUACAGGACUCCUGACUAGUACUUGUCAAGACUGUCAAGGUCAUAAGAAACAAGGAAAGGCUGAGAAAUGGUCACAGACCAGAAGAGACUGGAGAGACAUGACAACCAAAUGCAAGGUGGUACCUGGACCAAAUCCUGGAACAGAAAAAGGGCAUGACAAGGGACAGCAGUGGGAAAAGUGGUGAAAUUCGAAUCGAGCCUGGAGUUGAGGUAAUAGCACUGUACCAGUGUCAGUUUCCUAGCCUUGACAAAGGUGCCCUGCUAAUGUAAGAUGCUGACAACGGGUGACAAUGGGUGAGGGAUUUGUGGGAACUCUCUGUAUUACCCUUGCUACAGUCCCAUAAACCUGAAAUUAUUCCAAAAUAAAAGAUUUUGAAAAGGAAGAUAAUUAAGACUAAUAAUCACUCUUUUCCAUAUGGGAAAAUG